rnacentral:rRNA from 1 species
AGUGAACGCUGGCGGUAGGCCUAACACAUGCAAGUCGAGCGGCAGCACAGAGGAGCUUGCUCCUUGGGUGGCGAGUGGCGGACGGGUGAGGAAUACAUCGGAAUCUACUCUGUCGUGGGGGAUAACGUAGGGAAACUUACGCUAAUACCGCAUACGACCUACGGGUGAAAGCAGGGGAUCUUCGGACCUUGCGCGAUUGAAUGAGCCGAUGUCGGAAUAGCUAGUUGGCGGGGUAAAGGCCCACCAAGGCGACGAUCCGUAGCUGGUCUGAGAGGAUGAUCAGCCACACUGGAACUGAGACACGGUCCAGACUCCUACGGGAGGCAGCAGUGGGGAAUAUUGGACAAUGGGCGCAAGCCUGAUCCAGCCAUACCGCGUGGGUGAAGAAGGCCUUCGGGUUGUAAAGCCCUUUUGUUGGGAAAGAAAUCCAUCUGGUUAAUACCCGGGUGGGAUGACGGUACCCAAAGAAUAAGCACCGGCUAACUUCGUGCCAGCAGCCGCCGUAA